UCUAGAUUAUGUUCAACCUUUUGAAAGACUUUUUGAAAUGCAGAUUCGUGAAGCAUAUCCUAAUUUAGAAGAAUCUGACUAUGAGGCUUACAAAGAGCGGGAUUUCGCUAAUUGGUUAAAAUACUAUGUUCAGAAUGGAUGUGGAAAUGAACCCUUGCCUCUUUGGUUGCAUGAGCUCGUUCAAGAACCAAGAGCGAAGAUCACUA